rnacentral:rRNA from 1 species
AACGAACGCUGGCGGCAUGCCUAACACAUGCAAGUCGAACGAGACCUUCGGGUCUAGUUGCGCACGGGUGCGUAACGCGUGGGAACCUGCCCUUAGGUUCGGAAUAACUCCCCGUAAGGGGUGCUAAUACCGGAUAAUGUCUUCGGACCAAAGAUUUAUCGCCUUUGGAUGGGCCCGCGUUGGAUUAGCUAGUUGGUAGGGUAAAAGCCUACCAAGGCGGCGAUCGAUAGCUGGUCUGAGAGGAUGACCGGCCACACUGGGACUGAAAUACGGCCCAGACUCCUACGGGAGGCAGCAGUGGGGAAUAUUGCACAAUGGGCGGAAGCCUGAUGCAGCAACGCCGCGUGCGGGAUGACGGCCUUCGGGUUGUAAACCGCUUUCGCCGGUGACGAAGCGUGAGUGACGGUAAUGGGUACAGAAGCACCGGCUAACUACGUG